rnacentral:sRNA from 1 species
AAACUGCUAUUGCCUGCUUCUGCUGUGUUCCCGCCUCAGCAUGCUGGUGCAUUUAUUUCGGGUCGGGAUUCGGGGUGGCCCAUUCCCAGGCAGGCUGCUACCGCCCCUCCGCUUCCAGACAUUCUCAGCUGUCAGGUAAAAAAGGAAAAACCUCAGCGCGGGCCAUUGACCGGCCGGCAGGGCGGUGCCGGCCCACCGGGAGAUGGAGUCCACGGGCUUGCGCGAGGCUUGCUGGGAGCUGUAGGCCAGGCCUACCGGGGUGGAAUGUCACUCCGCGGGUGUUGGCCUCAAUUAUUUAUAGUGACACUCCAGUCGCCAGCAGGAGGCUCCUGCGUCUGCAGCCGCGUGUCAGCCAGAAGGAGGGGACGCUCGGGGUCAGUGACCACGCCCAGUCAGCACUCCCGACCAGGGGUCGCCUUUCCUGGCCCUGGAGUUGAUUGGGCGAUUUGGACGAAAAUUCUUAUUACUAUGAAGAGACAUUUAAUGUAGUGGUGCUUCCAGGAUUCAAAGUACUCUGAUGGCUACCGCAGCUCCUCCCUCUUCUGGGCCGUGGCCCACCUACGGUCCCAGCUCUGGGCCCACCUCCCUCGAGCCCCCUUAGCU